ensembl:lncRNA
GGCAAGGGGACAGUCUUGGCCAAAAACUGGGAGAGGCAGAAGGGAAUGGGUCUGGAGUCAGACUACUGGACUCAAUGCUGGUUCUAAUAUUUCUUAGCAGUGUGGACCUGAGCAAGUUAAACUUGCGUCUCAGUUUCCUAACAGAGAUAAUACACAGUGAUAAUAACAGCCUCUCAUAGGGGUGCUGUGUGAUCACCUAAAUCAACCUCCAAUGAGGGCUUAGAACAAUGCCUGGUGCAUAGCUUACUCAAUGUUUUUGAGUCAUACCUAUUUUUAAUAAGGACCUGUUCAGGCCAGUUUUGCUGGCAGAGAAGUACUCCAUGAUGAACCGGGACAAGCAGAAUCAUAGAUGGAUUUCAGACAAAAAUCUGAAGUCAAAAACACCGAAUUCCAAGUUUUUUCCAGGAGCGAAGGCCCCAUCUCUAGGCCACUGUACUAAUAAUACUGGCCUGGACUAUUUCGCGCCUGGAACCCCCCUAGUCUUCUCCGAGGGGUCCGCACUGCGGGGUGCAAACCCACAAACCAGCUCCAAACCAAAUGUUCCAUCGUCAGCCAAUCGCUGGCUGGGACCCCUCAAGAAAACCAGAGACACCUACAGAAGGUGAGUGGCAUUAAGGCCAGCCUAUCCGCGGGGAGGCAGCUGAAGGGGGUGGGUUCAGAAUUAGCCAAUAGUCUCCAAGUGGUUGUUGUUAGGCGGGAGGAAGACGCUUGCGAGCGUGCGUGAGGCCGCUCCCCGGGAAGGGGGUGGCAGGAAGCUCGAGGAGCCAAUGGCCGCGGCGGGCGGGCGGUGGCGCGCAUGCGUAUUGCCACCUGGGGCUGCGGGCGGGAGGCGGGGGAGGGUGGGGGAGGGGAGCGGGCAGGAACGCGGCGGAGCUGCUGCCGCCGCAGCCGCCGCCGCCGCAGCGAAGAGGCCAUGUUGUGUGGUGUGUGGGGCGGGGGGGAGGAGGAGGAGGGAGUAGAGCCGAGAGAGGAGACGGGAGAGAGACACCACACACACACGGCACAAGAUGGCCGGAGAGGCAGCAGCACCCCGAGCUGUCAGGCGUUCCGCCGCGGCCGCGGAGCCCGCCGGCCGGCGAGGACCUACUCCCGGGCGGCCCCCAGACCCGCGGGAGCAAAGCGGCCGUGGCUGGGGGGUGAGGCGGGCCGCGCGCCGGGCUGGGAGCCCGCGGCAGAGGCGCCCGGGGCGGCCGGGCCCACGACGCGGAAAGCGCCGCUGCGGCAGCGGCCGCCGAGGCUCCCCGGGGCCCCGGCGGCCCGACCCGUACGGGCGGGAGGCUCGGGCGGGCGCCCUGGCGCGGGAGUCGGGUGCAGGCGACCAGGAGGGGUCGGCCGCGGCGUUCGGACCCGGUAACUUACAAGAUUAAAAUUAAAUUUGAUUGACGAUGAUUCUGAACAAAUAUGCUGUUUAUUUGAGGUAUGCCAUUUUGAAGACUGAGACCAUGGAAUUUUGUCCUUGAGGAUAAAUCUUUGUGAUAGUCUGUAUUUUGUAUAGCAAGAAUAUGAAUCCUGAAGCUGAAUUACCUAAGGGGCCUCUACAGUGAAGUGAAAUAGAUGUUGGUGGAAGCAUUUACACCCAGUCAGCUUGAAGAGUCUCAAAUGGACCCUACCACUGAGAAAUCAAGAUGGCAGUCCACUAUGGGGAAUUGAGAAAAAUGGAUUAAUACAAGAGUGCUGUGAUAAUAUACAACCAAGACAGGGUUCUUUUAACAUGGAUUUCAUGAAAUGAAUGAAGAUAUAGGUUUUUUAACAGCACAAAUGGACAGUAAAUUUGUCUUUCUAGAGACUUUUUGUAUCAUUAGGAAUAUUUUUGACAUUUGGAGAAAAAGAUGGCACAUUAACAGAUGAUAGUUUGUAUGCCUGGAAUUUUUUCAGUUUGAUUUGUAUGAGUAUGACCUUGUGGAAUGUUAACUUUAAUAAAAUUUCUAACACUU